rnacentral:rRNA from 1 species
UUUACAUUCCCCCGUCACUUUUUCCCCUGGAGGGGAAAAUUUGAAAAAAAAAGGGSUUAUUGGAAAAUGCGCCUGGCCCUAAAAA